UACGUAGGGAGCAAGCGUUGUUCGGAUUUACUGGGCGUAAAGGGCGCGUAGGCGGCUCAUGAAGGCUGUGGUGAAAGUCCGGGGCUCAACCUCGGAUCGGCCGUGGCGACUCGUGGGCUGGAGCACUGUAGAGGCGGGUGGAAUUCCGGGUGUAGCGGUGGAAUGCGUAGAGAUCCGGAAGAACACCAGUGGCGAAGGCGACUUACUGGACACAUAUUGACGCUGAGGUGCGAAAGCGUGGGGGAGCAAACAGG
rnacentral:rRNA from 1 species